ACGGGAGGCAGCAGUGAGGAAUAUUGGUCAAUGGGCGGAAGCCUGAACCAGCCAUCUCGCGUGCAGGAAUACGGCCCUACGGGUCUUAAACUUCUUUUAUAGGGGGAUAAAGUGAGCCACGUGUGGCUUUUUGUAGGUACCCUAUGAAUAAGCAUCGGCUAACUCCGUGCCAGCAGCCGCGGUAAUACGAAGGAUGCGAGCGUUAUCCGGAUUUAUUGGGUUUAAAGGGUGCGCAGGCGGCACGUUAAGUCAGCGGUGAAAUGUCGGGGCUCAACCCGGGCGCUGCCGUUGAAACUGGCGAGCUCGAGUACGGAUGAAGUUGGCGGAAUGUGAUGUGUAGCGGUGAAAUGCUUAGAUAUGUCACAGAACACCGAUUGCGAAGGCAGCUGACUAAUCCGCAACUGACGCUCAGGCACGAAAGCGUGGGGAGCAAACAGGAUUAGAUACCCUGGUA
rnacentral:rRNA from 1 species